rnacentral:lncRNA from 1 species
AUAACAUCACUAUCAAAUAUGACUAAUAAAAUCAAAAUAAAAAUCAAAUUAAUACAUAAUAAAAUAAAAUCAUUAUUAAAUAUGACUAAUAAAAUCAAAAAUGAAAUAUAAUGCAAAGACGAUGAAAAUAAAAUCUAAUAAUUAUGAAAAUAUGACUAAAAAUGAAAUAAAAUAAAAUAACAAUCUACAAUUUUUUUUGAAAAUAUAAAAGUAGAUAACAAUUCAAAUAAAAUAGAAAAAAAGAGGAAUUUUCACUUUUAGAUUCAAUUAGAAGUAUCUUCUAAAGAAGUACUAUUUGUUUUUUUUUUAAAUUAUAGAAAAAAAGUUGGAGCAAUUCGAAACAAUAACAUAUAUAGUCAUCUGAUAGGUUGGGAUACUUACCACUAUACUGAAACCUUUAAAAUC